UGGUUCAGAGGGAUGGGAAAGCGGUGAGUCACGGGGUGAAGGCUUGCGCCACGGGAAACUUUGGUAAGGCCAAGCUAUGAGGCAACAAGAAGUGAAUCACAACGCUAGAAGACACCUUAGGCCUCAACUGAGGCCAAACCCUGGCUGACGGAUGGGGAAACUGAGGCCUCAAAGGGAGAGCAACUUGCUCGAGUUCACUUAGCAAGUGAACAAGCAGGAAUCAGGGGGUCUCCUCUCCCCCAGUCCCCUUUUCUCUCCACCAAGGAGGCUUUUCAACGAGAAUUCUGAGUUAAGGGGAUGGGGGAGAGGCCAAGGGCAGCUCACAGAUUCCACCGAGGAGCCGGGAGAGGGCACAGGUAGGACCAGGAAGCACAGAAAUGCUAGGAUGGGGGCAGAAAUGAGCCGCGGAGGAGGCAGGGGCAGUAGCUAGGCAGGUGGGUGAGGCCAAAGGGAGCAGAAAAAGGCGGAAGAGAAAGGGACAGAGUGCGGCCGGACGAAAGUGCUGUGAGAUUGGGUCUGAAGGGGCCUGGCGGGGUGGAGAGAGGGUGAGAGGAGAGAGCAGAGUAAGUCUGACGAUGGAAAAGUCCAGGGAUCGCGGAGACAUUGAAGGGAGUCGGAGAGGGGGUCCCAGAUCCGGCAAGAAGUCUGACCCGGAGAGUUCCAGGGUCAGACCAGACCCCGAGAAGCAAGAGGAACCUAAUACUCUUCCCCAUUGGCCUUCCUGUCUCCAUCUUUAUUCCUUCCAGUUCAUUCUCUGCAUGGUAAGCAGAGUCCCUCUCUGAUUCAUCAACCCACACUUCAAUCACAGAAAGUGGCUAAGAACCCAUGGAGGCAGGCUGCCCCAGCUGGAGUCCCAGCUCUGCAGCUUUCCUGGCUGUGUGAGCUUGGGUAAGGAAGUUUGCCCCUCUGGGCCUGGGUUUCCUCAGCUGUAAAAUAUGGAAAGUAACAGCACUCACAUGACAGGCUGAGGCGAUGUGACUGUAAAUAGCCUGGCACAGUGUUCCUCGUGUGGAGAAGCUGGAAGCAUCAGCCAUGAUCAUUACCCACCUACUCCUCCAAGACCUCUGGUCAUCCUGGAACAUCCGCCGGCCCAGAACAGAGCAGGCCCGGCACUGUCCCACCCCAAGGUGUUUGUGCACGCCCUGCUCUCCUCUGGCACACCUUCCCCAUCCAUCCACCCAUCAAAGCACCCCAGGCCAAGGCCCAGCUCCAGGGGCAUCCCCUCUGACUUCCUGUCCCCACCAGUCCCCCUUGGGCCUUUGUGCAGGCUGGUACACUUUCACACCUCACCCCCACCAACUCUGUCCCUCCUGCCGCCUCACACCCUUCCUGAGGACAUGGGAAGCUGGGCCUGGCUCUGGGCUCCAGCCCUGAGUUCCAACACAGAUGACUGAGGGACCUGCCAGCCUUCAAAACAAUUCAGUCAUCAAAUGGAGUUGAUAGCCCAGAAGGGUGGCUGUGAAGAUAAACAGAAAACACUAAUCAAGGCCCUUUUCUCCUUCCUGCCUCCUCAUGAGCCUGAUCCACCUCCCACCUGGACCAGCUGAGGGGGAGGAGGAAGCACUGGACAUGGGGACACUGAUGGCCUCCAGAUGCCCACGCAAGAGGAAUUUCUGAUCUUGAUUACAAUGGAUUUGGAGGUGGCUAACAAUCCCGAAUUCCCACAAGUGAG